UACAGAGACUGCAAGCGUUAUUCGGAUUCACUGGGCGUAAAGGGUGCGCAGGCGGUCGGGUGUGUCAGAUGUGAAAUCCCGAGGCUCAACCUCGGAACUGCGUCUGAAACUACUCGACUAGAGUACUGGAGAGGGUAACGGAAUUCACGGUGUAGCAGUGAAAUGCAUAGAUAUCGAGAGGAACACCAGUGGCGAAGGCGAGUCUCUGGACGACUCCUGACACUGAGGCACGAAAGCCAGGGGAGCAAACAGG
rnacentral:rRNA from 1 species